ACAUGUAAAAGCCCCAGGACUCUGCUCCCAGCACUCAGAGAAGGGCCGGUCUCCGCUGGAGUGAGAGCGAGAGAAAUCUCAGCCAGACACAACCUCCUGUCAUGCUCCUGCCUGGCCUGCUGUGGGCAUUCGUGGCCUCCUUUGGCUUCGGAUCCGGGAUGGCUGCGAAAGUAACCCAAACUCAGGCCACAGAAACAGCACAGGAAGGACAAGCUGUGACCAUGCACUGCACGUAUGAAACCAUGGCAUCGAGGUAUACUUUGUACUGGUACAAACGGGCUCCCAGCGGAGGGAUGGCUUUCCUUAUUUAUCAGGAUGACAAUAAGGCAAAUGCAAAGCGGGAUCGCUACUCCGUGAACUUCCAAAAGGCAAACCGAUCCAUCAGCCUCACCAUCUCAUCCUCUCAGCUGGCAGACUCAGGAAAGUACUUCUGUGCUCUCUGGGAUUACCACGGUAAGAGAAAUGACAGAAGCAGCUAAUCAAAAACCUUCGGGCUCCACCAAGGCAGCCACCUGCUCAGAGACUUCGGAGAA